AGCCAGAACUGUGUUCUGAAUGCAAAGGACACACUUAAGUUAUUUAUGAACUGACGUGUUUACAGAGAGAAAGAGCAAACUGUUUGGGAUUACAUUUCCAUAAUAAAUGACCGUCUCUAAGUCACUUUAGAACACAUGCGAGUUGACGACUUUCCCCAGUCCACCUCCCCUCUGCCCACCUGUCGAAUCUCCCUUAGCUUCUUUCCACGACAGCAGCCUUGAGCAGCCCGGAGGGAACUCAGUGCCCCGCCCACUCCAUUUCCAUAUACAAAGGGGCUGUUAGCAAGUCAAGAGAGCCGCACAUCACUGGGCCGGCCAGCCCCUGUUUGCUGAGAUCUCUGUUUCUCUAUCUGGCAGGUCGACAUAACUUGAAGAUGUAUCUUUCUUUCUGUGGCCUGUGGUCUUCUGUGAUGACAUUUAGACCUCAUUCAUGCUAUGACCUUUGGCUCAUAAGAACACAAAUCUAACAUUGCCAGGUUUUAGUGUUGACUUAAAAGUACAACUGCCCACUUGAUUAAAAUGUGCUCCCAUGCUUAUCUUGUUCUGUGCUGCUGUUCGAAGAUAAACCUGUGCCAUUUGAUGAGAGGCAGGGGAUGCUGCGGCCACCAGGGGGGGUUCAGGACAUGAGGUGCCCCUCCCUGGGUGCUCAGAUCAGCAGAUGGCCAGAGGGACAGUCUCUUCAGACAUUAGGGAACGCUCCAGCAACAGUGCUUCUGUGUCUGUCUCCUCUCAGCCACCAGAAGAAGACAAUUUCCCCUUUGCCGAUGUCGUCGGACUCACUUUGUCUUCCGUGCUAGUGACAGGAGACACCAGAACUGCCAAAGGACACCAGGUGACACAAGGGGACUUGCAUGACCCGGUCUGUUACUUCACCCACUAGUCACUUGUGUGUCCCUGACUUGAGGCAAGAGCACCCUAACUGUGGUGUGACCUCCCGUUAUUUAAUCUCCCCACACUUUCAUUUUACUCUUCUGUUAAAUCACCUAGAACUUUCUAAGAAGCUCCAUGAAAUGAGGAGAUAAUGUUUAUGACAACAUGCAGACAGAGGUAAAAUGUUCAUUCCAAGUGGAAAAUCUUAUUGGACACAUUUUAAAUAAAACC
rnacentral:lncRNA from 1 species